AACAUCAUAUCAUUGAACUUGCAUUAUAUAUUGAUUUUACAAAGUUAAUCCACAUAAAUUUGUUAGUAUUUAUAUUCAAACAACACACGUGACGGACCUGACUAAACCUCAUUGGUUCUUGGGAUUCAGUACGUCACAUUGGCUUCCUGAUUCAGUUGUUCGAUACACAACGUGCGUGAUCGUUGGUAAAUGUGGAUUAAAAGUUGAAACUAAAACUGUUAAAUUAUAUAUAGUGAUCAUCAGAGGACUUGGCUGAAACAACGCGAUUCACAUGGAUUACUUCGGCGAUGGUUUUUAUUGCUGUUGCGAUUAACCUUUUGAAAUGUGAGCAGUUUUUAAGUAUCAAGUGGAUCUGACAUCGAGGGGAAAUAUACGUUUCUUGGAUUUCAUUAAAGUACAUCGGUUUUUGUUUGAAGAUGAAUGAGAGAACAUGAGGCACAGCGGCAUUCAAAUUGACCAAUCAGAGCCGAGAAUAUCUAAUAAGUCGAAGUAGAGAUGAACAGAUGAAGAUACAGCCCGUAAAAAUACUUAUUCUUGGUGAGUGCCAUGUAGCGACGGAUCAAACGGACACUCAUGUCAAGCUUGAUGAGGACACAGUCAAAGCUUUAAAAGGUAAACUG